rnacentral:rRNA from 1 species
CCCUUAGAUGUUCUGGGCCGCACGCGCGCUACACUGGUGCGUUCAACAAGUUUACAACCUUGAUUGACAAGUCUGGGUAAUCUUUUGAAUGCGCACCGUGCUAGGGAUAGAUUAUUGCAAUUAUUAAUCUUGAACGAGGAAUUCCUAGUAAACGCAAGUCAUCAGCUUGCAUUGAUUACGUCCCUGCCCUUUGUACACACCGCCCGUCGCACCUACCGAUUGAAUGGUCCGGUGAAAUCUUCGGAUCUGAGAGAUGUCUGAUUAAUUUCGGACGCCUUUUGGAAAAGUUGCUUAAACCUUACCAUUUAGAGGAAGGUGAANUCGUANCA